rnacentral:sRNA from 1 species
GCUCAUUUCACCAGCUGAGAGCUCACUGGGCUAAGCCACAGUGGUUGGUACAUGACCUGCCACUCCCAGGGGCCGCUGGUAGUUGCCCUUUAUAGAGCAGCCUAACUAGUUUUCAGUGGGAGCAAAAGGCAGAGGAGAGACGGGACAGAAGAAACCCUCCAAAGACUAACAUUGCCCAGCCAGGCAGCCAUCCCCCAGACCAGGAGGCUCGAGCCCUUCAGCAUCUUAUAGCUGAGGAAGGAGACAGAGCUCGAGCUUGGCCUGCAGGUGCACAACGUGCCUCUGAGACUCUGCCUUUUGGGUCUUUGAGUCAUCACAGGCAUAAGCACUGGGACUGGAAGGGCCCCUAAGAUGAGAAGGCACUGAGUGGCAUGUGGCUCCAGACUCCCUCAUAGCCUGCUCUCUCGGGCUUGGCAGGUCUGCAAAGGGUUUUGGGGCUCGAGGCCCAGAUGUGCUGAGUCCGGCCAUGGUAGCCCUCUCCAACAAGCUGAAGCUGAAGCGACAGCUGGAGUAUGAAGAGCAAGCCUUCCAGGACCUCAGCGGGGGGGACCCACCUGGUGGCAGCACCUCACAUUUGAUGUGGAAACGGAUGAAGAACCUCAGGGGUGGGAGCUGCCCUUUGAUGCCGGACAAGCCACUGAGUGCAAAUGUCCCCAAUGAUAAGUUCACCCAAAACCCCAUGAGGGGCCUGGGCCAUCCCCUGAGACAUCUGCCGCUGCCACAGCCUCCAUCUGCCAUC